rnacentral:pre_miRNA from 1 species
UUUUUUGAGGGGAAUGUUGUCUGGCUCGAGGCCACCAUCUCAGAUCACCCAUCUUCAUCUCGAUGAAUCAAUUAAGACCCAUCGUUUUUUUUUUUCUUUUCUUUUCUUUUCUUUUGUUGUUGUUGUUGUGGGUUGGGAUCGACGCAAACCCAUUUCAGAUGAUCAUGCGGUGAUCGAUCAGAUCAUAUGAGCUUGACGACCUCGGACCAGGCUUCAUUCCCCCCAAUU